AUUGAACGCUAGCGGGUUGCUUUACACAUGCAAGUCGAACGGCAGCGCGGUCUUCGUUCUGGCUGCGCGUGGCGAACGGGUGUGUAAUGUAUCGGAACGUGCCCAGUAGCGGGUGAUAACUACGCGAUAGCGUAGCUAAUACCGCAUACGCCCUACGGGGGCAAGCAGGUGAUCGUAAGACCUUGUACUCUUGUAGCGGUCGAUAUCGGAUUUGCUAGUUUGUGAGGUAACGGCUCACCAAGGCGACGAUCCGUAGCUGGUUUGAGAGGACGACCAGCCACACUGGGACUGAGACACGGCCCAGACGCCUACGGGAGGCAGCAGUGGGGAAUUGUGGACAAAGGGGGCAACCCUGAUCCAGCCAUCCCGCGUGUGCGAUGAAGGCCUUCGGGUUGUAAAGCACUUUUGGCAGGAAAGAAACGUCGCGGGCUAAUACGACGUGGAACUGACGGUACCUGGAGAAUAAGCACCGGCUAACUACGUG
rnacentral:rRNA from 1 species